AUUGAACGCUGGCGGCAUGCUUUACACAUGCAAGUCGAACGGUAACAGGCCGCAAGGUGCUGACGAGUGGCGAACGGGUGAGUAAUGCAUCGGAACGUGCCCAGUCGUGGGGGAUAACGCAGCGAAAGCUGUGCUAAUACCGCAUACGAUCUAUGGAUGAAAGCGGGGGACCGUAAGGCCUCGCGCGAUUGGAGCGGCCGAUGUCAGAUAAGGUAGUUGGUGGGGUAAAGGCUCACCAAGCCAACGAUCUGUAGCUGGUCUGAGAGGACGACCAGCCACACUGGGACUGAGACACGGCCCAGACGCCUACGGGAGGCAGCAGUGGGGAAUUUUGGACAAUGGGCGCAAGCCUGAUCCAGCAAUGCCGCGUGCAGGAAGAAGGCCUUCGGGUUGUAAACUGCUUUUGUACGGAACGAAACGGCUCUGGUUAAUACCUGGGGCUAAUGACGGUACCGUAAGAAUAAGCACCGGCUAACUACGUGCCAGCCGCCGCCGUAAGAC
rnacentral:rRNA from 1 species